rnacentral:rRNA from 1 species
CCUACGGGUGGCAGCAGUGAGGAAUAUUGGUCAAUGGACGAGAGUCUGAACCAGCCAAGUAGCGUGAAGGAUGACUGCCCUAUGGGUUGUAAACUUCUUUUAUAUGGGAAUAAAAUGUUCCACGUGUGGGAUUUUGUAUGUACCAUAUGAAUAAGGAUCGGCUAACUCCGUGCCAGCAGCCGCGGUAAUACGGAGGAUCCGAGCGUUAUCCGGAUUUAUUGGGUUUAAAGGGAGAGUAGGUGGAUUGUUAAGUCAGUUGUGAAAGUUUGCGGCUCAACCGUAAAAUUGCAGUUGAAACUGGCAGUCUUGAGUACAGUAGAGGUGGGCGGAAUUCGUGGUGUAGCGGUGAAAUGCUUAGAUAUCACGAAGAACUCCGAUUGCGAAGGCAGUUCACUGGACUGCAACUGACACUGAGGCUCGAAAGUGUGGGUAUCAAACAGGAUUAGAUACCCUUGUAGUC